CAUUGAUCCUCUUGUAAUGAUUAUUGACUAAUUCACAAAGACUUGGCAACAAUCAUUAUAGAGUAUUCCAAACGAGAUCAACUCCUUGGAAACAUCUUUCUUGCAUUAAGUUUCAUAAUCAUACAGAUUGAAUACUUUCUAACUUUGAAGCAUUUCCAUAUUCCAUUUUGACUAUCACUUCUAAACAAGAGUUGCCUCCUUACAGAUUAUGUCAAUAUGGUCCUUCCAGAAUUAAUACUAUACUUCCAACUGUCCUUGAGCAACCAAUCUUUGGUAAACCUUAGAUUGUCCUCGACAAUUGUUUAAUCCUUUUAGUCAUAUCCAGUUCUAAACCUUUUCCCUUCUUAAUGCCCCAGGCAUUUGGAAAAUUUUAGAACGGAUGAAUAUAGCACAUGUAAUCGAUCCUAUAUCCGAAGCAUAUGGGACACGAUUCAUGAUGUCUCACAUAAAGACUAAACCAGUCUUUUGCUAUAAUAUUUCCAUUUCUAUUUGCCAAGUUCUCAUAAUUCAGAUUAUGAAAAGGGAUGCCGUAAUCAUAAUCGAAUUUUAGAACGCAAAUAAUGAACCCAUAUAUAGAAUUUCCUUAUGUUGAGCCAUUCCAACAUGAAAUUCAUAUAUAUUCUUGACUAAAUGAUUAAAACCUCACGAUCUAAGCUUAUAGAUUUGAGAUGAAGUAUAAUUUCCUCUCCCUUAAUUAUAGCAAAACAACUUUUUCCACCUGAAACCUUUUGUUUUCUAUAAUUAACAUUGCUAACUUGCAAUACUUAUCAUAAUUAUCAUGCUCCCACUAACAUGAUGAUUAUUAGCAUAACACUUAUGCUCCCACUAGCUUUGACAUGUACUCAGAAAUCAGCUGGACUUCUAGAAAUCAAUACUUCAUUGACUUUCUUACCAAAGUUCAGAUUUCUGAUACUAGAUUGUUUUGAUAAAACUUUAUCAAAAUCAUACACCUUCCCUUAGAUAGCACACUUGUGUGUCUAAACAAUUAUGAAGAGGGAUGCCGUAAUCAUAAUAUUUAGACCUUUUGUCAUUCCCACAAUUGCUAUCUACUCAAAAUCUGUUUAGUGAAAGAGUUUCCUUACCAUCAUUUUCAUGAAUCGAAGAGAAACCUUAUGACACUUAGAUUUAAUGGUGUAUGUGUUCUUAUCCAUGUGAAUUGUCAAAACCAUAGUCACAAGACAAGGAUAAUGACAAAUCCAAACUCAUAUGGAUUGAACUUGUGCAAUCUUAACUUCUUGCCACCUGGCAGCUCAAGGGCCUGCCAUUGCUUCCAAGUAGUUAUGCAAACAAUUGAGAACAUGUAGAACUAAAAUGUAUAGCCAACUUAACUGGAAUGGGCACAGAAAUGUCAGCACGAUAGGUUAUAAACCUCUACUUGUGUGCUAGCGAUGAAAUACAUGUUUUAUUCUUGAUUACUUCUUGAAAUCUUUUUCAGGAUCUUUUAGACUCCCACUGUCUCUUUGACCUAUACGACAUUCUUGCCAAAUAUUCAAGAGAUAGUGUGGAUUCUAAUCAAGACAGACACUUAACACAAUUAGCCUUAGUUAGUCUUUGUUUUAUCAAAAACAUCACAACUUACCAAUUUCAAAUGUACAAGAGUAGAAAACUUUUACUCUUACAUUUGACAAGUGUUUUAAACCUUCUUUAAGACAUGUCACUCAAGUUACAAUCUUAGAUUAUAACUCUAUGAAUUGUUUUGGAAUGAAGUAUGAAUCAUCUUCUUGAUUUAACCACUUCAACAAUUCAUAACUCCUCUUCAUAACUAUCAGAAUGUACUUAGAGGAUGAAUUGUGAUAAGGUCUCAAAAUCAUUAAGAUAACCUUAAAACAUGAUACUAAAGUACUCUCCCAUCUUUUCAGAUUUGAGAAACUUUUAUCCUUCUAUCUAUUUUGAUUCUCCUUAUUCGUUCUGUCAUACAUUGAAAAUUUUCCAAUGUUUCAGAAUUAUACUUAACCUUGUAAGUAUAAUCAUAUUUACUAAACCUUAGUAAAUCAUGACGAAUAGUCUUAUCCAUCUUUUGUGGUGGACUUUGAAAAGUGCACAAGAAAGUGUACUUGAUCCCCUAGUCCUUCUCUUGUGUCACACCCCCAAACUAAGGAUGCCGGAAACGUUCGGGGGUGGAGGACUUCAUAUAUAGUAUCACAACAACGAGUAUAAUAGUGCUCAAAGUAAUUACAACCAUCAUAAAUAUAAUUGAAAAAGUUACACCAAAGUAUGUGUUUAAAUGUUUCAAAAUCAAUUACAUUAUGAUGACAAAAUAAAUUGUUUGAGGAUUUAACGUCCCAUCCUCAAGGCGCUGAUGUUUUCCUGUUUCAUUCAUUUCUUGAGAAUAUAAGUAGUUUUAAAAAAGUGUCAACAAUUAAGUUGGUGAGUUCAUAAGAGUUUUGCUUUACAAUUAAACCUUUUUCCUUGUAAAAGUAAAAAAGAAUGUUUCCAGAAAAUCCAAUAUUUUCCUUAUUAUGUAUGAAAUGAAUGCUUCUAUGUUAUGCGAUAAUGAAUCCUAGAAAGACCCAUAGAUUCCUUCUAUAAUCACUCAGCAUAUAUAAAUUAUAUAAAAAUUUAGUUAAAUAAACCGUUGACUAUAAUGGGUCUGCCCCAGGUCCACAACCAAACAAGGAACAGGAGAUAAGGCGGGCCCACCAAUUCUAAGUCGAUUGUGACUAGAUUCUUAUAUAACUCUAGCGUAUACACCUAAUAAUUAUAGCUGAAGUCUAAUAAUUCUAGAUGAAAUAUAGUUUUAAUAUCAUGAAAACUAUUUCAUGUGAACAUGGUACUUUGUAUUUGUACCCCUUUUUGUAUAAAACCGGUACUUUUUAUUUGUACCCCUUUUCGUAUGAAAACCUACUACUUUGUAUUUGUACCCUUUUUGUAUACCACCAGUACUUUGUAUUUCUACCAUUUUCGUAUAAAACCGGUACUUUGUAUUUGUACCCCUUUUCGUAUGAAAACCUUUUGUAAUGUAAAUGAACAUAAACUAUACCUAUUAUAGUUUAUCAAGAUGUUUGAAAUGUAUAAGAAACCGAACUAUACCUAUUAUAGUUUAGUAUGUUUGUUUGUGGUGUAUAAGAACCCAUUUCUAUGUAAGUCGAAUUUCUAGCCAAAUAUAACUAUGUUUAUCUUGCUUUAUUUUUGUACUAAUGGUAAUGAUGGAGGAUUCUUACAAUUCAGUGAUUAUUCUCUAUUAUAUAAUUAUACCACAACAAGAAACACAUGUAAAAUAUGAAGUCAUCAAAUAUUUAACACUUUGCUCAACAUGUUACAAAGUGUGUUGAAAGUUAUAAGCUGUUAACUAGUUUUUAACUUUUCUACACUGUUUUAGAAAGAUCNUAACUUUUCACACUGUUUUAGAAAGAUCAUAGAAAAAUCAUACAAAGUCGAAAACUGAAUCCGUAAAUUCUGAGAGUUCCUAAAAUGUGUCUAGUUUAUUCAUAAUUUUUAUCAUGAUUUUUGAUGAUCUUCAUCUUGUGUGAAAAAGUACAUAAUCACAGACUGGUCCGGAUUGACAUUUGAAAUGAUUGGCAGGUUUGUAAAAAUCACCAUAAAUUGUAGAAAAAUCGUAUGAAGAUGUUCAAGUAGUAAUUUUAAAGCUAAGAACUUCUAAUAUUUGAACCUAAUACAGUUUUGAAAACUAAAAUGUUUAAGUUGUCCAAAACAGUCCGUGAAUGGAGUCCAACUUUUCUGAUGAAAGCUGUUAGAAAAGUUUAGUUAUGUUCUUGGUGUUUUAACUUGUAUUCCCCCUCCCCCCUAAAACUUGAGAAAACAUGAAAAUUUAGGGGUAUGAACUCACCUUGUGUGAUUUCAGUAGAUGAAUGUUGGAGAAAGAAAGUGUUCAACUCAAGAACACUUGAAGAUGCCUUGAAGAUUUUCGAGAAUCUAAGAUCAAAGUGACUUACUAAAUGUGGAGGAAAAUACUUAGAUAGUGGAAUAUCUAAGUGUACGAGGAAGAUACUUACUAAAUGUGGAGGAAAAAUCUAAGAUCAUCCCUUGAAUCUCAAAUAUUUAGAGAGAGGAAGUGAGAGAGAUAAUAUGUUUGAUCUUUGGUGGAAGAAUGAGAAAAUGAGAGAAGUGUGAGGAGAGAGGAGAGUUUUCUAGCCUUUGACCAAGUUUAUGGAUGAAAAAUGGUGGGAAUAGUACCAUUAAAUGACUAGAUAUGGGCUGAUGGUGAAUAGUGACAUGGAGUGAGUACGGGAGUGGUUGCUUGUGUCAUAAAAUGGAGAAAAGUCAACAUUCAAACUUUGUACCUCACCCACUUUUCAUGGAUAAGGUUUUAUCCCCAAAAACGUGAUUAAUUAAUAAAUAUGGGGCCUUAUAUGUUAAAAUAAAGUUUUGGGUGAAAAUCUCGCGUUAAAACAAUUAAAAACAGGCCUAAAACGCAAAACUAGUCGAAGACCGGGUGAAAAAGAGCUUCCUUCGAGGCCUCUCGGUCCUAGGCCGAGGUUCGGUCCGAAGGGACCUUCGGCUCCUGAGAGGGUUCGGUCGUUUCUGAUGCAUUCGCUUCUGACAAGUUCGCUUUUGAUGCCUUCACUUCUGACAAGUUUGCUUUUGAUGCCUUCGCUUCUGAUAAGUUCGGUUCCUAAGAGGGGUUUCGGGUCCUUAAGAGGGUUCGGCUCCUUAAGAGGGGUUUGGGUCCUUAAGUCUAUUUUAUCCGUUUUUACCCCGUUUUAAGCAGUUUUUGACCUGGUUAAGGGUCAGGAUGGCCCAAAAGACUACAAAAAGUUUAAGGAACUUUUGAGAGAGAUUUGGGAGAGAUUUCACAUACUUAGAGAGAUUUGGGAGAGAUUUCACAUUCUUGGAGAGAUUUCUCAUAUAAAGAGANAGAUUUGGUAGAGAUUUCACAUACUUGGAGAGAUUUUUCAUAUGGAGAGAUAUUUGGGAGAGAUUCCUCAUUCUUGGAGAGAUUUCUCAUACAAGGAGAGAUUUGGGAGAGAUUUGACAUACAUGGAGAGAUUUGGGAGAGAUUUCACAUACUUGGAGAGAUUUCUCAUAUGGAGAGAGAUUUGGGAGAGAUUACUCAUUAUUGGAGAGAUUUGGGAGAGAUUCUUCAUUCUUGGAGAGAUUUGGGAGAGAUUUGACAUACAUGGAGAGAUUUGAGAGAGAUUCUAGAUAAAGAAAGAUAGAGUGAAAACGAUUGAGAGAGGUUUCGUGUGUGACAUUUGUGAGUGGUUGGCUCCGCAAUGCAAGGUCCGUAAGCCCCGUUAGACCAUAUUUAAGGAUCUUACACACUCCCGAUGAGUAUGUAACAUUGUUUUAUCAGUUUGGUUCAUUACUUAACGCCGUUUUAGGUUAAUGAAAUCUAAGUAUACAAACUUUUCAAUUGAUGAUUUCUCAUUAGAAUAACGAGUUGUACGGAAAUAACAUAGCAUAAACCCUAGUACACAAGGGUUAAUUGAGUUGACUGGUUUGACUUGUUGACUUUAGAUGAGUUUGACUUGACCGGAAAUUGACGGUUGUCACAUCAUCCCCCCGUUAGAGGGAAUUUUGUCUCGAAAUUUGCAUUUUGAUUGGGGAUUCAAGAAUUUGGAGGAAUGAUGGGGGAAGCUUUUCGUAGUACAAGAAAUUGAUUAUGGUGAGGAACAACCCGCCUGAUGUCACAUGACGACCUUGGAAUUUCUUAUUAUUUAUGCUCCCUGUUUAAUCCUUGGCAUUACCACUAUGAAUACUUUAUAACGUAGUUAGCGAGUUUCGUUAUUACGAAUGUUUAACAAAUUGUGACGAAAUAUGUAUUAUAAAUCCUACCAGUUCCUUUAUAACCGCUUGGUGUAAACUAGUCGGAUAUCAUUAAGAUUGCAAGGGCAUUCAGAUGGGUGACCCCGCCUUAAGCCCACAACCAAACAAGGAACAGGGAAUGAGGCGGAAUCAUGCAUUCUAAGCCCAUAGAAUCUUAAUGAUAUAUGACCAUAAUGUUUACACUAGCCAUCAUAGACUCACUAGUAAAAACCCUGUGCUUUUAUAUAUGUGAUAAGACUUAUUUGAGUUUUGCCGUGUUCUCGAGAUUCAUGGUCGAUAUACUUUAAUCCAUGCUAGAUUUAGCAAAUAAAAGAAAUUUAGAACUUAAACGUCGAUGUUAGUAACACGUACUGAUAUUUACGGGCAGUUCCGGGGUGGUGUCUCCUGCGGUGAUCGCAAGCACCCUUCCACCAUCACUGGCAUCUCUUGCUCUUGGGCAAUCCCUUUUAAAGUGUCCCGUUUCUCCGCACUUGUAACAGGCUGGGGUUACUCCAAAGCCAUGGACCUGGUUGAUGGGUCGUGCUGGUGCCUUACAGAAAUAGACAGUGUGCCCCUCUCUGUUGCAAUUUUUGCAAUGCAUCUUCCACCAAGCCCCAGUGUGAUGGAAGUUACACUUGUUGCAUUUCAGAAGGGUUCCAGCGUAUUGUUUUAUGGGAGUUGGUGCGGUGAGGGUUGUGGCAGCAUGAACAGUAACAAUAUGUUGCUACUUAGAAAAGUCCUGGGCUGGUUGGUCCAUCUUGUUGUCCCAAAACUUUCUUUUGUUGUUCCCUCCUCUUGCUUGGUUAAGGGUGGUUGUCGUAGUGUCAUGGCUGGCAUGAUUUUCGAUGAGUUAUUGUGCCAACUCCUUGGCGUUGUCGAAGGUAGUUGGUCUUAAGGCGAACACGCUAUCUUGAAUUUCGGGGGACAAUCCCCAGAGGUAUCGUUCCAACUUUUUGUCUUCCGGGGUAACCAUCGCAGGACAAAGGAGUGCUAGAUCACAGAAUCGGGUGGUGUAAGUUGUAAGGUCGGAGCCUAUCAUUUUGAGAUUCCACAGUUCUUGCUCCAGCUUUUGCACUUCACCUCUUGAGCAAUAUUCUUUUAGCAUCAUCUUCUUUAAGUCCUCCCAACUUAACGAGUUAGCCACUUCAAGUGUUAGUGAGUUAACGUGGCUUUUCCACCAAGUGAGUGUUGGAUUAAUGUCUAAGUCCAUAACUAUAUUUGGUAAGACUUGACCCGACCCGGCAUGGUCCAUUUGGGUUGCAUACCAUCAUGCACUUGAAUGAGAGAAAUAAGACACUUAUGGUUAUUAAUAUAUUAUAAGUUCUAGUAUAUUAAUAAUAAGAAUAAUAAGAUUAUUUAAUUAGUAUUGAUCAAGAAUUAAUCUAGGAUUAAUUAAGUGAUCAAAAGAAGACUAAUUAAAUAUAUGGGUUGAUUGUGUAAAUCAUCCAUACUUGUAUAGUGGGCUAAUGCUCCAUGGAUAAUCAAGUUGGGCUAAAACCCAUAGGAUGGUCCAUGGAUGCUCCAUGGUGUAUUUGUACCCAUGGAUCCAAGGAAAUGGAAAGUCAUGACAAUUAGGGUUUGCCCUAAUUGUAACACUAUAUAAGCAUCAUAUUAUUCACCAAAAUCGGCACUAGUGGGUGUACUAGAAGGGCUAGCCGAUUUCAUGAAGUGUGGGUUUUCUCUCAAGUCAUUCCAAGUGUUUUGAUGAUUGUGAUUCCAUUUGAGGUGUCACACUUGGGGCACUAGGCACUCUAGCUUCAUGAAGACUUUCUUCUCCAAAGAGGUAUGUAUUCUAUCUUGCUAUAGUCAUUGUUUUGUAUGCUAGAUUAGGAUAAUACCUUGGAAGUUCUUAUUUGCAUGUAUAAUAGAGAAAACAUAGAUCCAAGGUAUUUAGGGUUGCAUGUACACUUAGGAGUGUUAGAAUGCUCAAAACCCAACAGUGGUAUCAGAGCCUAGGCUUGUUUUCUUGUUAUACCUGCAAUAGAAGCUGAAAAAACGAAUCUGGUGCUGUCUGGCCAUCAGACUCGGCGAGUCCAUCAGGAGACUCGACGAGUCCAUGCCUAAAAAGUGAUGAAUUCGAUCCAACUCGCCGAGUUUGUUCAUGCACUCGACGAGUUGGACCCCCAGACAGCAUAUUUUCGAGUUUUUUGGCUAGAAAUGGACUAGGAACAUUACCCUAAGUUGUUUUUGAUCUUAUAAACUUGUUUUUGAUGUGGUAAUGUUCAUGCUAAUCCAUUUUCAAAGAUAAUUGUCAAUAGAUUCAUGUUUUGUAUUAGUUUAAGGUUUAGACUAAUUACAUGAAAAAGUUUGAUUUGAAUUAUCUUGUUCUUAUGAGUUGCUUAGAUUAAUAGAAAUGUUGAGUGAAAUAGUUGUUUUCAAUCCAUUUUAAUCUAAGAGUUGAGUAUAAAAUGUGUUUGUGUAACUUGUCCUCAAGUUACAUGAAGAGUCACAUUAAAGACUCAUAAAAUUCAUAAGAGUUGGCAAUGGUUACAAAAUGAAGAGUCUUGUGUCAUUGAAUAAUUUUUAUGACUCCAUAACUUGUCCUCAAGUUAUGGAAGUUCAAGAGUCACUUCAUUAAAGAAAAAUAUGUAACCAUAAUUAAAUCCAUAAGUUAUAAAAUAAAGAAAAAGUUAGUUCUUUUAUUAGUUUAAAGUCUUCCAUAACUUGUCCUCAAGUUAUGGAACUUGAAGAGUUUUUGGAUUAAAACUACUUUAAACACAUAAGUUAUGGAAUUAAUUAGUUUUGAAUAGUUUCAAAACUUGCCCUCAAGUUUUGGAAUUUGAAAAGUUUUCAAGUAUGAAUACUUUAAUUCCAAGUUAGCCCUUAGAAUUUUAAAAGUUAAAAUUCAACCCUUAUACUUUAUAAUAUUAUAAGUUAAUAAUAUAUAUAUGUAUAAGAGUAAAGUCAGUCUUACCGCUAGUACGCCUCAUUCACGAAGCCGGUCUAUAAGGUGGGUAUAAGGUUGUUGCCUAUAAAAUGGCAACUUAAUGGGUGUCCACUCUCACCCACCGCUUGCUUGACUGGUGGAGGGUCGUUAGCCGAACGGGUUUGACAGGACUAGAAUUCUCCCUUCAUUAAAAGUAUUAAUGAUAAUACUAAGUAACUAAACUCUUAAUAAUACCCAAUCUUAGUUACUUAGGAAAAAUGUGAAUAAGGUGCUAAUCCAUGAAAUUACACUUUACACUUUGUCUAAGUCGUUAGUGGAGCGUGUGUGGUUAACCGGCACACUAACUUGGACUUAACAAGGUAGGUAAAGGGUGACUUAAUAUUUAUCAUAGUAUCGAUGGAGCGUGUGUGGUUAACCGGCACAUCGAUUGAGGGGUAAUUUAUUAAGGGUACCAAGUGAUUUGCAUGGUUACUUCACACCUUGUUUUGUGAUCCUCGGCAUCCCAGUCACAAAACCUGAAGGGCACACUCGAGAUUGAAACAUGCCUUUGAAAAGUUCAAUGAAUCUCAAAGAUCUAGGAGUUUCAAAACCAAUUAAAACCUAAUAAUACAUUUCGUUUAUCUUGGUGGAAAUUGGUGAAUCGUCAUUCACCUACCUUCAAAUAUUUUAUAGCUUGGAUUACGGCAUACCUCUUCUAAGUUAUAAAAUAGUUUGUUGGGUCCUAGCCUUAAUAUUUCAUAUUGGGUGUCAUAUUAAGGACUUUAAAUCAACUAUCUUGAAUAUCUCCCAAAAGAUGUCUGGUUUAGACACCUAUGAUCUUCCCAAAUCUCUUGAAACAAGGUUUCCUAAUGAAGAUGAUGUCCCAUGGAUAUCAUACUUCUUCACCUCUUCAAAUUAUUCUCCCUAACCCACAAGUUCUUGAAAAGUUUAAGGUCACUCAGGCCCUAUUGGCAAGGCAAGGUCUAGGUGUGGUCACAUCUUGGAGAUGUAGUCACAUAUUGACAAGCCGGGAGAGUUGGGUGUCAAAGUCUUGAGAAAGUUGGUGGUUCAACCACUUUCUAAGUCACAUAGUGAGUUCCUUUGGGACACCUAUGAAACAGACUAUGACAAGACCCUUAAUGAUCUUAUCUAUUUGCUAAGAUCAACUUCCUAAAACUUUAUGGACAUUGACAAUGAUGACAUUGGAUAUCCAGUAAAGCAUUCUCUUCCCAAUGGAAAGGGAUCGGCCAUAGUCAACUCGGUUGACCAAAUGGUAAAGAGAAAAGCUAAGUCUGUGAUAGUCCCGUGUACCAUUAUCAAAGGGUCCAUAUGUUUAUAUUGCCAAAGGAAGGGGCAUUGGUUGCGAAGCUGCCAAAUUUACCUAAGGAUGUUAAAGUCAAUAAGUUUGACUCUACUUCAGGUAAAGUCCACUAUCUAACUCUGUUAAGUUUCUAUUCUGAGAUUCUUGAUACAUGAUGUGACUGGGUCACAUGGUGAUGUUUUAAGAAUCAAAGAAAAGUGAAGAAACUUAAAGAAAGAAUAUGCUGAAUCUGAUGGCGUAGAUGGAUUUCUAUCGCAUAGUUUGAAGAUCGGAUUCUUGAGCUACUUCUUAGGAGUUAUGAGAUAUUGCUUAGGAAUAGAUAACAACAAGUUUUCAUAUGGAUUGUAAGGAUAAGUUUUUCCGCAAAGUUUUAAAAUAAAAGAAAAUUUUUUAUUUUAUUUAUUUUAAAAUAUCCUUACAAUGGCAUUUGAGGAAAAAUUGUUGCUUAUAUGAUUCCAUUAAGAGCAAGAGUGGAAAUAUGAAAUUGAUUCUUUCAUUUGUGGUAAUGUCUAAAUUUACCAAAUAAGGAAAGAUUCUCAUCACCCAAGUUUCAAUUGGACCGGAACUUGGAAUCAUGCAAGUUGUAUAGCAUGAUGAAUGAGAACUUUCAAGUUUUGGAAAAUUAAGACUAAUUACUUGUUCACAUGGAUGUGUGAGUCAAGUAAAGGACUUAGGGAUCGAGUACACAUUCUUGUGCACUGAUUAAGUCCACCACUAAAGAUCGAUAAGAAGAAUCAAAUAAGGCAGAAGGAUAAAAGUUUCUCAAAUCUGAAAAGAUGGGAGAGUACUUUAGUAUCAGUUUUGUGAUCAUCUUAAUGAUUAAGAAACCAUAUCAAAAUUAGUUCUCUAAGGAAAUCUUAGUGCAUUCUUAUGACUAAGAAGAGGAACUUGAAUUGUUGAAAUGGUUAAAUCAAGAAGAUGAGUCAUACUUCGUUCCAAUACAAGUCUUAGAGUCAUACUCCAAGAUUGUCAUUUGAGUGACAUGUCUUAAAGAAGGUUUAAAACACUUGUCAAAUGUAAGAGUAAAAGUUUUCUACUCUUGUACAUUUGAAAUUGGUAAGUUGUGAUGUUUUGGAUAAAACAAAGACCAACUUAGGCCAAUUGGGUAAAGUGUUUUUCUUGAUUAGAAUCCGCACUAUCUCUUGGAUGUUUGACAAGGGAGUCUUAUAUGUCAAGAGGACAGUGGGAGUCUUAAAGGUCUUGAAAGUCUCAAGAAAUAAUCAAGAAUAAAACCUAAAGUUCUUCACUAGCACACGACUUGAGGUUUAUAACCUAUCGUGUUGACAUAUCUGUGCCCAUUCCAGUUAAAGUUGGCUUUGCAUAUGAGUUCUUAGAGUUCUCAGUUUGUUGCAUAACAACUUGGAAGCAAUGGCAGGCCCUUGAGCUGCCAGGUGGCAAGAAGUUAAGAUUGAGUUCAAUCCAUAUGGUUUUGGAUUUGUCAUUAUCUUUGUCUUGUGAUUAUGGUUUGACAAAUUCAUAUGGGUAGGAACUCAUACACCAUAUAAAUCUAAGUGUCAUAAGGUUUCUCUCCGAUUCAUGAAAAUGAUGGUGAGGAAACGCUUUCACUAAGUAGAUUUUACGAAGAUAUCAAUUGUGUUAUUUGCAUUUUCAAAAGUCGUUAGUGGAGCGCGUGUGGUUAACCGGCACACUAACAUGGACUUGUGAGAAAUGGCAAAUGCCUAAGCAAUUGAGACCAUGAUUACGGUAUCCCUUUUCAUGGUUCUUGAAAUUGCUUAGACACACAGGUGAGCUAUCUACGGAAAGGGUGUAUGAAUCUAAAUUUCAGACUGUCCAGCUGAUUUCUGAGUACAUGUCAAAGCUAGUGGGAGCAUAAGUGUUAUGCUAAUAAUCAUCAUGUUAGUGGGAGCAUGAUAAUUAUGAUAAGUAUUGCAAGUUAGCAAUGUUAAUUAUAGAAAACAAAAGUUUCAAUUGGGAAAAAGUUGUUUUGCUAUAAUUAAGGGAGAGGAAAUUAUGCUUCAUCUCAAAUCUAUAAGCUUAGAUCGUGAGGUUUUAAUCAUUUAGUCAAGGAUAUAUAUGAAUUUCAUGUUGGAAUGGCUCAACAUAAGGAAAUUCUGUAUAUGGGUCCAUUAUUUGCGUUCUAAAAUUCGAUUAUGAUUACGGCAUCCCUUUUCAUAAUCUGAAUUAUGAGAACUUGGCAAAUUGAAAUGGAAAUAUUAUAGCAAAAGACUGGUUUAGUCUUUAUGUAAGACAUCAUGAAUCGUGUCCCAUAUGCUUCGGAUAUAGGAUCGAUUACAUGUGCUAUAUUCAUCCGUUCUAAAAUUUUCCAAAUGCCUGGGGCAUUAAGAAGGGAAAAGGUUUAGAACUGGAUAUGACUAAAAGGAUUAAACAAUUGUCGAGGACAAUCUAAGGUUUACCAAAGAUUGGUUACUCAAGGACAAUUGGAAGUAUAGUGAUAAUUCUGGAAGGACCAUAUUGACAUAAUCUGUAAGGAGGCAACUCUUGUUCAGAAGUGAUAGUCAAAAUGGAAUCUGGAAAUGUUUCAAAGUUAGAAUUUUCAAUCUGUGUAAGAUUAAGGAAACUUAAUGCAAGAAGGAUAUUUCCAAGGAGUUGAUCUCCUUUGGAAUACUCUGUAAUGAUUGUUGCCAAGUCUUUGUGACUUUGUGCAUAAUCAUUACAAGAGGAUCAAUGCAUAUAAGUUUAGAAUCUAACAGAUUUCAGUAAAUGGCAUGAAUUUGGAAUUCUUGCAUUUGCAGUAAGGAUUUGGGAGUGUGAAAAGAGAAUCAUUGAAGUUAUGUUCAAUUGAUCUAGUUCACAAAGUAAAGAUCAUAGACAAACAUAGUAUGCAUACUUGGUGUGUGGCAUGACUAGUGUUUAAGAAAACAUAGUGUACAUGCUUGGAGCAUGGGACAACUAUUGUUUUAAAUUCAAGAAUAAAGUUGAUAGCUGAAACAGUAUACAAUGAAUAAUGUGUAAUCAUAUGGUGAUAAAUAAAAGGUGUUUUAUUUAUGUUCAAAGGGUUGAUACCAUAUUGGAUUCAAUUAUUAUUGUGUUUCAUUUUGCAUGUUUUGACUUCCCGAAUAAACUGGGUUAUUCUUCCGGAAUGACUAAGUUAUUCAAACCAUCCACAGUCGGUCAUAUGUUGGAAGUAGAUAUGAAUUAAGACUGUCAUGGGUUGGCUUGUAGAGGUCUAAGGUGUUGGACAAAGGGCUACAACACUCAUGAGUGCUCAUAAGUUCUGAGUAUUGGAUUCAACCCGCGCUCAUUGGAAUCACUUCAUGGAUUUUAUCACGAGUGAUCAUGAGACGAUAAUAUCUUAUAUUCUUCAAACCUAGAGAUAUGAGUUGUUACUAUGAGUUGAUAGUACAUUGAUUGCACGAAAACGCAUUUGGUAACUCGGUGCUAUAAAACGUGCCUUUGUGUAUGAUUCAACAAGUAGUAGAACAAGCCAUAUGAGUCGAAGUUUAUCCAUUCCUUUUACCUUCGGGAUAAAAGCGAUAUCUGUGGGCCCCUCGAUGAUUUGAUGAUGACAAAUGGAAGUGCUCGGCCGGGCCAGGACUGAUUUGAUUUGUUCAAUUAGUCAGUCGUCAUAAAUCGGAAAUCGGGAAACAACAAAUGGACAGAGAGAAUGAUUAUAAUCCAUGUCUCAGUCCAUAUGAUAUCUAGAAUGGAGGAAUAUAUGAUCCCUUAUCUAAUGGACAAGUCAUUGACAAAGGUCAGAGUUCAUCUACAAGGUCAGAGUUCGACAGAAGCUUUUGAGAGCUACGAUUGCCAGUUGGUUCCUGAAGUCAUACGCAAUAAUAGUUUUAGACUUAUCCAAGUGGGAGACUGUUGGAUUAAUGUCUAAGUCCAUAACUAUAAUUGGUAAGACUUGACCCGACCCGGCAUGGUCCAUUUGGGUUGCAUACCAUCAUGCACUUGGAUAGACUAUAAUGAGAGAAAUAAGACACUUAUGGUUAUUAAUAUAUUAUAAGUUCUAGUAUAUUAAUAAUAAGAAUAAUAAGAUUAUUUAAUUAGUAUUGAUCAAAAAUUAAUCUAGGAUUAAUUAAGUGAUCAAAAGAAGACUAAUUAAAUAUAUGGGUUGAUUGUGUAAAUCAUCCAUACUUGUAUAGUGGGCUAAUGCUCCAUGGAUAAUCAAGUUGGGCUAAAACCCAUAGGAUGGUCCAUGGAUGCUCCAUGGUGUAUUUGUACCCAUGGAUCCANAUGGAUCCAAGGAAAUGGAAAGUCAUGACAAUUAGGGUUUUCCCUAAUUGUAUAACUAUAUAAGCAUCUUAUUAUUGAGGAAAAAUCAGCCACUAGAGAUAGUGAAGAAAGGGCUAGCCGAUUUUGAAGAGUGUAGAAUUCUCUCAAAUCAUUCCAAGUGUUUUGAUGAUUGUGAUUCCAUUUGAGGUGUCACACUUGGGGCACUAGGCACUCAAGCUUCAUGAAGACUUUCUACAUCAAAGAGGUAUGUAUUCUAUCUUGCUAUAGUCAUUGUUUUGUAUGCUAGAUUAGGAUAAUACCUUGGAAGUUCUUAUUUGCAUGUAUAAUAGAGAAAACAUAGAUCCAAGGUAUUUAGGGUUGCAUGUACACUUAGGAAGUGUUAGAAUGCUCAAAACCCAACAGUGAGGGCCCGACCAGAGAAAGUGUAUGCUGCAAAUUUGACCUUGCUUGCUUCGGUGCAUGCACAAAUUUCAAAGACCAUUUCAGUAUUUUCGAAGCAUUGCAUCAAGGUGAUGACGCCCUCGCUUCCAUUGAAAGAACCGGGUUUGGCACUAGUAAAGUCCUUAUACGAACAUUCCCUCGUACGUCCUGUACUGUCCCCGUGGUUAGAGUUUAUGGCUCCAGAUCCAGCACCACCGGUACCAUUUGUACCAAUUUGUGACACUGUAGCUGCCACGACUGUUGUUACUGCACCUUAGAACAUUGCAGGAUCAAACUGUGGAGGUGGCGUUGGAGGUGGUGGUACUGUGCUACUGGAAGGUCUGGGUCUUUUCAUUGGUGGCAUAGUUCUGUCAUAAGUUUGUAAAAAUGAUUAGAUGGUAAGUUCCCAAUAGUAAAGACAAGUCGGUUGUUAUUGAACUAGAUUUUUCUGUAUUAUGCUCCGACUUAAGAAUGUCUUGCAUGUAAUUCAUAAGGGAAGUCCAGAUGAAUGAAUUUCAUGAGUUUAGUAGGUUUUGUACGGGCGUUAAGAUUUACUAUACUUAGGAUCAUGUUUGUCCAAACACACUUAGCUGAGGAGUUUUGAUGGGAUCCGGUGCAUUAGUGCUGGUAUGAUCACACCCUAUAGGUCUAUGAAGAAGGCACCCUUUCACCAAAAUGUUUAAAGGUGAGACGAUAAUGAGUCGUUAGAAAGGGCUAUGUGUCGCGAUUUUUCUAACUAAGUUUAUCUUAGUUCAUUGUGUAACGUAUUUCGGUUGCUUUAUGGUGUGCUGAAAACAUUUCAUAACGAGAGCCUAUAUAUGAUAAACUCAUGUAUUUUAGUAGUUCUGUGUCCAAGUGAAACCUUGUAAUUUGACCCAAGCUAGGUCCUUAUAGUGACCAAUUGAUGUAUGCUUAGUUAUAUAAUAAAGACUAAAUAGACCUUCGAGUCUGUUAGGUAUGUCCUAAGCCCAUCUUGUUAAUAUGAUUCUAGUAAUUAUGGUUUCAACGAAAAUUUUUGACUUCGAUGCAGGUCUACCUCACAUCUAUUCUGCAAGGAAAAGUUCUGAUAGCAACUAGAUCUCUCGAUUAAUAUGACCGCUUAAAUCGCAGUGCCGUGCUUACGCCUAGAAUAGAGUAGCACCAACGCAUACUCAUGAGCCUAAUUUACAAGGUCUUGUGAGCAGUAUGAACAUUACUCACGACGAUCCGUCCCUUGCGAUGCCUGAUUCAAAGUCGAUGCACCUUGCAGCUCUGCCAAUCGAUGCUUGGCUGCAAUCCUCCUCUCUUUGGAUGUCGUGUGUCUAUCUUGUUACUCUCUUGCCUCUGCCCGAGCUGUGAUAUGGUUCUAAAAAAAAUGUUGGCCUCUGAAAUAGUAGUCUAUCUCUGAGUCUCGUGUACGUGAGACAGUAGGGUCUGUAGUAGCGCGCAGUUUACGAACUCGGGUUGUAGUCUACCUGUUUUAAUCCCCGAUGUUCGCGAUCUAUCGGGUCUUCGCGGGGAGGGCUCUGUCAGUCGGUCCCCUGUGGUUGAGGUCAUAGCACACUCGUUGGUCUCCACAUGGUGGUUGUUGUCAUUGUUGUCGACAUUCAACCCUCGAUCACGGUUGCCCAAUGGGGCACAGGUUCGAUGUAGUCGAAACGGUUCGUGGAAACCCUUGCUAUGCAUGGAGGAUUGAUUACCUCUGGUUCUGCUUCUGAUUCUUCUCAUAACCAUUCACCAUUUAUCGAGUUCGGUUUGGGAAAGUAGGGGUCGCCCUGUAAGUAGGAUCUUGCUAUGUUGAACGUGCGAGAAUAGGAGUCAGAAGAUAAUUAUUGGACGAACUAUCUAGAUAAUUAUUAGGUGAUCUCCAUCAGUUUAUAUCAAUACUUAUGUAGUGUGUACCAGUUAUAUGAAACCAAGAUAGGAUAGUCCUUCGAAUAUGCGACUCUAACUCCAAAUCCACGAUCUAACGAGAACAAGAAGUAAAGCAACGGUCACAGAUUCUGAGUCUAUAACGCCUAAAUUUCAUAUAAUCUUAGCGUAUCUACUUAACAACUAUUGACCUACUUGAUAAAGACUUGAUUAGUUCUCAUGUAAGCACUUAUAGUAUCACAAAAUACUCCCAUAGUAUUUUAAACUCAUGUUCUGUUCUAAUCUUCUCAUUGUGGUAGUGUUGGUAAGUUUUUAGACUUGUUGCCAUAUCACAACCAUUCUUGGGCAUGUGUUAAUCACUCCUCGGACCAGCAUAGUUGAUCAUGCUAUGCCACUCCCAAGACUUACCAUACAUCCCCGAGCUUACCUGUGAUAUUCAACAAUCAUUACUUUUGUUUUGUUCUAGAAUGAUGCUGACCUUAGUAUGUAUGCAUGCAUGUAUACUUUUAACAAGAAACUAUUUAUUUCUAAAAGUAUAGUUGUUUUGAAAACUUUAAAUCAGAGACCUUAGUCCCAAUGCAUUUAUAGUUUGUAUAUCUUAUGUGGUUCGAUAUACUUAGUUCACUAUAAAAAAUGCUCUGAUACCAAUCUGUCACGCCCCCAAACUAAGGAUAGCGGGAACGUUCGGGGGUGGAGUACUUCAUGUAUAGUAUCACAACAACGAAUAUAAUAGUGCUCAAAGUAAAUACAACCAUCAUAAAUAUAAUGGAAAAAGUUACACCAAAGUAUGUGUUUACAUGUUUCAAAAUCAAUUACAUUAUGAUGACAAAAUAAAUUGUUUGACGAUUUAACGUGCCAUCCUCAAAGCGCUGAUGUUUUCCUGUUUCACUGAUUUCCUAAGAAUACAAGUAGUUUUGAAAAAGUGUCAACAAUUAAGUUGGUGAGUUCAUAAGAGUUUUGUUUUAGAAUGAAACUGUUUUCCUUGUAAAAGUAACAAAGUAUGUUUCCAGAAAAUCCAAUAUUUUCCUUAUUAUGUAUGAAAUGAAUGCUUCUAUGUUGUGCGAUAAUGAAUGCUAGAAAGACCCAUAUAUUCCUUCUAGAAUCACUCAGCGUAUAUAAAUUAUAUAAAAAUUAAGUUAAAUAAACCGUUCAAUAUAUUAGGUCUGCCCCAGGUCCACAACCAAACAAGGAACAGGAGAUAAGGCGGGCCCACCACUUCUAAGUCGAUCGUGACUAGAUUCUUAUAUAACUCUAGCAUAUACACUUAGAAAUUAUAGCUGAAGUCUAACAAUUCUAGAUGAAAUAUAGUUUUAAUAUCAUGAAAACUAUUUCAUGUGAACCAGGUACUUUGUAUUUGUACCCCUUUUUGUAUGAAAACCUGGUACUUUCUAUUUGUACCCCUUUUUGUAUAAAACCGGUACUUUUUAUUUGUACCCCUUUCAUAUAAAGCCGGUACUUUUUAUUUGUACCCCUUUUCGUAUGAAAACCUGGUACUUUGUAUUUGUACCCCUUUUUGUAUACAACCAGUACUUUGUAUUUCUACCCUUUUCGUAUAAAACCGGUACUUUGUAUUUGUACCCCUUUUCAUAUGAAAACCUUUUGUAAUGUAAAUGAACAUAAACUAUACCUAUUAUAGUUUAUCAAGAUGUUUGAAAUGUAUAAGCAACCUAACUAUACCUAUUAUAGUUUAGUAUGUUUGUUUGUGGUGUAUAAGAACCCUUUUCUAUGUAAGUCGAAUUUCUAGCAAAAUAUAACUAUGUUUAUCUUGCUUUGUUUUGUACUAAUGGUAAUGAUGGAGGAUUCUUACAAUUCUGUGAGUAUUUUCUGUUAUAUAAUUAUACCACAACAAGAAACACAUGUAAAAUAUGAAGUCAUCAAAGAUUUAACACUUUGCUCAACAUGUUACAAAGUGUGUUGUAAGUUAUAAGCUGUUAACUAGUUUUUAACUUUUCUACACUGUUUUAGAAAGAUCAUAGAAAAAUCAUACGAAGUCGAAAACUGAAUCCGUAAAUUCUGAGAGUUCCUAAAAUGUGUCUAGUUUAUUCAUAAUUUUUAUCAUGAUUUUUGAUGAUACUCAUCUUGUGUGAAAAAGUACAUAAUCACAGACUGGUCCGGAUUGAUGUUUGAAAUGAUAGGCGGUUUUGUAAAAAUCACCAUAAAUUGUAGAAAAAUCGUAUGAAGAUGUGCAAGAAGUCAUUUUAAAACUAAGAACUUGUAAUAUUUUCACCUAAUACAGUUUUGAAAAAUAAAAUGUUUAAGUUGCCCAAAACAAUCCGUGAAUGGAAUCCAACUUUUCUAAUGAAAGCUGUUAGAAAACUUUAGUUAUGUUGUUGGUGUUUUAACUUGUAUUCUCCCCCCCCCCCCCCCCCCACCCUNNNNNNNNNNNNNNNNNNNNNNNNNNNNNNNNNNNNNNNNNNNNNNNNNNNNNNNNNNNNNNNNNNNNNNNNNNNNNNNNNNNNNNNNNNNNNNNCCCCUAAAACUUGAGAAAACAUGAAAAUGUAGGGGUAUGAAUGCACCUUGUGUGAUUUCAGUAGAUGAAUGUUGGAGAAAGUAAGUGUUCAACUCAAGAACACUUGAAGAUGCCUUGAAGAUUUUCGAGAAUCUAAGAUCAAAGUGACGAUAUUUGUGUAAGCAAUCUAUGAUUUGGAUGAAGGAUAGUAGAAUAUCUAAGUGUAGGAGGAAGAUAAUUACUAAAUGUGGAGGAAAAAUCUAAGAUCAACCCUUGUAUCUCGAUUAUUUAGAGAGAGGAAGUGAGAGAGAAAAUAUGUUUGAUCUUUGGUGGAAGAAUGAGAAAAUGAGAGAAGUGUGAGGAGAGAGGAGAGUUUUCUAGCCUUUGACCAAGUUUGUGGAUGAACAAUGGUGGGAAUAGUACUAUACAACUUGCAUUGUACUAUACAACUUGCAUGAUUCCAAGUUUAUACUAUACAACUUGCAUGAUUCCAAGUUUCGAUCCAAUUGAACGAAUCAAAUUCAUAUUUCCAAAUGAACGAAUUUAGACACUACCACAAAUGAACGAAUCAAAUUCAUAUUUCCAAUAUUGCUAUAAACAUAAAACAUCAAGUUUUCAUGAAUGCCAUUGUAAGGAGAUAAAAAUAAAGUAAAACAAACUUUUAUUUAUUUUAAAAUGCGGAAAAAACUUUUUCCUUACAAUUUAACUUGAAAUGAAAACUAUGUUAUUACUUGUUUCCUGGCAAUCUAUCAUAACUCCUAAGAGUAGCUCAAGAAUCCAAUCUUCAAUCAAGUGAUAGAAAUCCAUCUUCGCAAUCAGAUUCAACAUACUCUUUCUUUAAGUUUCCUUCACUUUUCCUUUGAUUCUUAAACAUCAACAUGUGACCCAAUCACAUCUUGUAAUAAGAAUCUCAGAAUAGAAACUUAACCGCGUUAGAUAGUGGACCUAACCUGAAAUAGAGUCAAACUUAUUGACUUUACUAGCCUUAUGAUAAUUCAGGUAAAAUUGACAGCUUCGCAACCAAUGCCCUUUCCUUUUGGCAAUAGGACCAUAUGGACCCUUAGGUAAUAGUACAUGGGACUAUCUCAGACUUAGCCUUUCUCUUUACCAUUUGGUCAACCGAGUUGACUAUGGCCGAUCCCUUUCCAUUGGGAAGAGAAUGCUUUUCUGGAUUUCCUGUGUCACUAUUGUCCCUGUCCAUAAAGUUUUGGGAAGUUGAUCUCCUAAUCAAAUUUGCUUUACUAGUACACUAAAUCAUUUCUGAUUUAGCAGCACCAAGCAAAUAGAUAAGAUCAUUAAGGGUCUUGUCAUAGUCUGUUUCAUAGGAGUCCCAAGGAACUCACUAUGUGACUUAGAAAGUGAUUGAACCACUAACUUUCUUAAGACUUUGACACCCAACUCUCCCGGCUUGUCAGUAUGUGACUUCAUCUCCAAGAUGUGAUCACACCUAGACCUUGCCUUGCCAAUAGGGCUUGAGUGACCUUGAACUUGUGGGUUAGGGAGAAUAAUUGGAGGAGGUGGAGGAAGUGAAGUUCCAAGAUAUUUGGGAAGAUCAUAGAUGUCUGAACUAGACAUCUUUUGGGAGAUAUUCAAGAUAGUUGAUUUAAAGUCCUUAAUAUAACACCCAAUAUGAAAUAUUAAGGCUAGGACCCAACAAACUAUUUUAUAACUUGGAAGAGGGAUGUCGUAAUCCAAGCUAUAGAAUAUUUGAAGGUAGGUGAAUGACGAUUCACCAAUUUCCACCAUGAAAAACGAAAUAAUUUAUUAGGUUUUAAUUGGAUUUGAAACUCCUAGAUCUUUUGAGAUUCAUUGAACUUUUCAAUGGCAUGUUUCAAUCUCGAGUGUGCCCUUCAGGUUUUGUGACUGGGAUGCCGAGGAUCACAAAACAAGGUGUGAAGUAACCAUGCAAAUUACUUGGUACCCUUAAGUGUUUACCCCUCAAUCGAUGUGCCGGUUAACCACACACGCUCCAUCGAUACUAUGAUAAACAUUAAGUUACCCUUUGCCUACCUUGUUAAAUACGAGUUAGUGUGCCGGUUAACCACACACGCUCCACUAACCGACUUAAACAAAGUGCAAAGUGUAAUUUCAUGGAUUAGCACCUUAUUCACAUUUUCCUAAGUAACUAAGAUUGGGUAUUUAUAAAAGGUUUAGUUACUUAGUAUUUAUCAUUAAUACUUUUAAUGAAGGGAGAAUUAUAGUCCUUGUCCUACCCGUUCGGCUAACGACCCUCCACCGGUCAAGGAAGCGGUGGGUGAGAGUGGACACCCAUUAAACUGCCAUUUUAUAGGCAGUAACCUUAUACCCCCUUUAUAGACCGGCUUCGUGAAUGAGGCCUACUAACGGUAAGACUGACUUUACUCUUAUACAUAUAUAUAAAUAUUAUUAACUUAUAAUAUUAUAAAGUAUAAGGGUUGAAUUUUAACUUUUAAAAUUCUAAGGUCUAAUUUGGAAUUAAAGUAUACAUGGGGGGUAACUUUACAAAUUCCAAAACUUGAGGACAAGUUUUGAAACCUUUCAAAACUCUUGGCUUUUUCAUAACUUAUGAGUUUAAUUAAGGUUUAAUGAAAAAAAAAUUAAAGUUCCAUAACUUGAGGACAAGUUAUGGAAGACAUUAAAUCAUUUAAUGAUGACAUUAAAAAUAGAGACUCUUCUAUUUUCAUAACCUAUGAGACUUAAUGACACUUUAAAAAGAAAAACUCUUCACUUUCCAUAACUUGAGGACAAGUUAUGGAGUUCAUAAAAACCAUUAAGAUCAAAUAUUCCAAUUAACACAAUAAUCAAAUAAUUUUUCUAUGAUCUAGAUUAAACUCAUAAGUAAAGAUAAUUCACAUCAACAAUUUUCAAGAAAUUAGAUAAUCAUAUAAACUAAUACAAAUCUUGAAACUUUGACAAUUAUCCUUUGAAGACUCUUGGACUUCAUAACCUAAAGAGUUAAUAAAUGAGACAUUUCACAUCCAUAACUUAUGGAAGUUUCAAAACUCUUAAGAUCAUAACUUUAAAAAAAACUUUUGAGUUCCAAAAUUUUAUGACAAAAUUUGUAACUCCUUAAAACCACUUAGAUCAAACUUUUAAAACAAAUAAAAUAAUCAUAUCAUUCUAUCUGUUAACAAAUUGACCUAAUUCAACUCUUGUAGUAAGGAGACUCAAAUUUUACAAAUAAUUAGUUUUUCAUAAAAUCAAGUAAUUAUCAUAAAAUUUGACAAACUUCAGGUUUUUUUUCAUUUUUUUUUCAUCAACUUGAAAAAAAAAUACAUUUGCAUCAAAUAUAGUAGAAAACAACCCAUGGCUCUGAUACCACUGUUGGGUUUUGGUAUAAUACAACAUCCUAUGGUGCACAUACAACCCUAAAUACCUUGGAUCUAUGUUUUCACUAAUUAUACAUGCAAAUGGUUUCCAAGGCAUUAAACCUAUAACUAGCAUGCAUUUGACAUAAACCAUAUAAUAUACUAGUUAGGGAAACAUACCUUUUAUGUGGCUUGAAGUCUUGAUGUAUUUGGCCUUAAGAGCUUAGCACCAAUAGUAUGAAAUGCCUCAAAUGGAAUCACAACACACCUAGGACAAAGGUGGCUCUUGAGAGAGAAUUCCAUGCACCAAAACACCUCCAUAUUUCUCUAAGAAAAGAAGUGGUGAUUUUGGCUAUGGAGUAACCUAUUUAUAUGUAGGAUUCCAAGGGUCAUGGGUAUAACCCAUAAUCCAUACCCAUGGGUUUUAUGAUCCAUGGUUCAUGUGGCCCAACUCUUUAUGUAUCCAUACAUAAACUUGGUCCAACAUGGAUCAUAAGCCCAACACAUAUAAAUAUAACUAAUUAUCAUAAUUAGUCCCCAUAGAUUUAAUUAGUCUCUUUUGAUCACUAAAUUAAUUCCAAAUUAAUUCUUGAUUGAUACUAAUUAAAACAUAUGAUUUCAUAUUAAUAUAUUAUAACUUAUAAUAUAUUAAUAAACCAUAAAUAACCUUCUCUCAAAAGUCCAUCCUAACAAAUUGUCCUGAUGAUAUGCAACCCAAAUGGACCAUGCUACUCUCGGGUCAAGUACAUACCAAUAAUAGUUAUGGGCUUAGACAUCUAAUCCAACAAUAUUAACAAUAAUAUCUCUUCUCUCUUUACAAAUCAUCCUGUCAAGUUGUUAUGGUGAAGGCAACCCAAAAGGACCAUGCACAACCGAGUCAAGUACUUACCAAAUAUAAUUGCAGCCUUAGACACUAAUCCAACAUAAACAUGAUGGGAAACCACCCUAAGGACCUGGAAAUGCUUGAACUAAGUAUCGGAACAAUAAUUGAUCGAACGAGGGAGGUGUAUGGCCACCCUAAGCGUGUGUAUUGCUAUGGGUGUAUGGCCCAUGAGUGUACAGCUGUACACUCAUGAUGGGGAGUGUUUAUGAGGUGUUUCCAAGGUUCUUCAAGCAUCCAAGGAGUGUUCUAGGUCCCAUUCUUAGUGGUUUUUUUUACAAGUUUAAGGCCAAAUGUGAGCAUUAAAAUGGGUGUAAGGCCAUAAGAUCGGGUGUGUGGCCGUACAUAGGAUUGUGCGGCCAUACAGAGUGUGUGUGCGGCCGUACAUAGGGGUGUGCGGCCGUACAUAGGGGUGUGCGGUCGUACACUCUUCAUUUAUGCUCAAAACGUCGAUUUUCAGGUGUUUCAAGGCCAAUACCAAGUUCAAGCUACUAGAUGGGGGCUAAAUUCUCACUUUGGAGAGUCUUUAAGGUGUGUAUGGCCACCUUAUGAAGGUGUGCGGCCGUACACCUUCAAAUAAUGAAGAACAUGAAGAACUUUAGGCUUAGAUCAAGAUACCUUACCAGUAUAACAAGUUAGAUGAUGGAAUAGUUAAUGUUUUUGAGGCCUUUGGGGUGUUCUUGGAUGAAGUUUCUAGAGAUAUAAAGUAGAGUGCAGCCAAAGAGGGGAAAGAACGAAUGAAGGGGUCACCCUCUAUAUAUAAGGGUGAGUGUGCGACUGGGGGUGGGUGUGCGGCUGCACACCCGUGUGUACGACCAUACACACCUCCCUAGAGGGUGUAUGGCCCGGUUUUGUCCCUAUACGACUUGUUGACUCAUUCCUAAUCUCAUUCCUAGUUGUACUCGGGCUUAGAACACUCAAAAUGAACCCAUAAACGACGUUCAAACAUAAUGGAAUCAAGUUUAAUGUUGAUAAAUUUGACCAAUCAUACAGAAUAAAAGUUUCGGGUUGUCACAAGUAAUCACUUGAUCUAACAAACAGAGUGCAUAAUCGAAAAAAAAACAAUCAAUUAAACAAGUUUUCUUAUUCGAUAUUGCAGAAAACUUUGAAUCGGAAAGAGUGAUUCAAAAAAUAUGAAAAAAAUGAGAAAACUAAAAUUGAUUGCAUGAAUCUUGCUCUGAACCCAAUUGAUGUGAGUUAGAAUCGAGUAACGAAUACAUAAUCAAUCAAGGAAAGCAUGAAGAACACAUCCCACACUACUAGAAAACAGCCCUUUAAUGACGCGCAAACAAUGACACUCGCUGAUAGAGGAUAUGCAUUUGUGCGUGCCCUAAAAAUAAUGUCAGUUUUGCAAAAUUUCAAGGAUAGAAAACAUGCACUUGUGCGUUCCCUAAAAUUAGUGUCCAACAAAAAAAACAUGAAGGGCACCUAUCAUAAAAAAGUGUGUCGUGUAAAUGUGUCGCUUUAUAUUUUUUUAAGGAAGGCGCGGUCUCUGAUUUUUAAUAGCCCAUGGGGGGAAAUGAAAUACCAAAAAAUUAAACACCCCGCCUCUAAAAUCCUCUACNNNNNNNNNNNNNNNNNNNNNNNNNNNNNNNNNNNNNNNNNNNNNNNNNNNNNNNNNNNNNNNNNNNNNNNNNNNNNNNNNNNNNNNNAUAUAUAUAUAUAUAUCCUUUGGAAUCAGAUUCUUGAAAGAUCGAAACCCUAAUCGUAGCCCUAACUAUGAGAUGUCUUACCAACCGUGAUCUUCAAAUAAAAACGAAAGCGACGACCACCACGACAAUCGCCGGCUAUACAACCCUUACCAAGAUCUUAUAGAGUCCCCGCACAAACCCUGUAUAAACUUCCUACAUCUCCUGAAUACCUCUUUCAACAGGAAUCCAUCGCUCAAUGGCGUUGAUGGGACGAAAACCUGACAUACUACACCGGCAUCGGUUACCUUAGCGAUGCAGUAGUUGUCGCCGGGAAAGGUUUAGUAGAGGGCGUGAAGGCUUCUAAGUCCAGAGACACCAUGAAACUUAGGGUUAAUCGGAAUGAAAUGCGUGGUGGUUGGAUUAGCUACUGGAGCGUGGUGGCUGGAUUAGCGACUGGAGCGCUUUACAAGAUGGCGACGGGCCCUAGGUCGGCGGCUGUUGCCGGAGCAAAUGGUGGAAUAGCGGUGGGAUUAGUCGUGACGGGGAAGCAGAUUUUGAAGAGAUACGUACUAAUCUGAGCUCGAUUUGCAUUCAAUUUCAUCUUACUACAAUUUAUGGUCUUUUGAGAUCUCCGAAGGUGAUUCAUCUAUAGUCUUUUACAGUAUUUUAGUAUUUUACAAUAUUUUAGAUGAUUGACAUAAUUUGGCAUGGAAUGAAAUGUGUGAUUGUUUCUCUUCAGGCAUCAACAAGUUAUUGGCCAAUUGAAAUGAUGAGAAAUGUGUUGUAUUUCAAAAUUCCAUUUUCCCCCUCGGGAGUAUACAAUCGGAUGCACCAAUUGAAAACUGGAGGUCGGAAGAUUUUAGUUUCUUGUUGUAAAUCUUUAGUCGGUUGGGGUGACCUGCCUGGGAAGGGUAAGUUGGGUAAGUGUUUUUGUGAGAAUGGUGAUGUGAACAUUUUGCCCUUAUUUGAGCAUUGGAUGUUUAGUUUUUCUUCUUUGGACAAUUGAUUCCUGAAUGUGGUUUACUUUAUUACUAAUUAUGAUUAUGAAGAAACUGUUUCAGAACUUAAUUUGACACAGGAACUUGGAAUUUGUGUUGGAUGUCUCAAAAAAACUUGUUACCUUGAUAUGAUGAAAUUCUUAAUUUUAUAUAUUUUAUAUUAUGUAUUAUUUACACAUUACACCCUUCAUGCCAUUCCAUAGAGUUUAGAUCACCGACUUACAUGCCAUUUUGAAUCUGCGAUUUUGUUGAUUGGUGUUUACACAUAGAUCUCAACCACUUGCACCUUUUUUGGUGUAUUUGAGAUCACUGCUUUCUGUCCUUUUAGGAUUAAAAGACUCCAAAUCAUUCUUUACUAAAUUUACCAGUUCAAUUCCACGUGCCCCCAUGGUAUUCUUUGACUUUACUCCAGUUGGAUAAAUUCUGACAAGGGUAAGAGUUCUUUGGUAACUAAAUUCAAUUAAUUAAUUUCUACCCUUUUGGUAACAUAUUUACUAUCUCUUGUCAGGCCUCAUCUGAUUUGAGUGUAAUUGAUUUUGACAUACCGUUUGCGUAUGUCUAUUCGAUUGUUGCUGGUAUUGAAUUACUUGCUAUGAUUUUCAUUAUGGCCUUAGUGACAUGGCAAGUUCUCAUUGUAUCCAUCUUUGGUAUCGCGGCUUCAAAAUACAUUCAGGUGAAUACACAUUCUAUCGGAGCUUUUACUCAAACACUUUAAUUAUAUGUUACUUAGACACUUUAAUUAUAUGGUUUCUAGUGCUUUCAAUGCACAUGCUAUAGGAGCUGUUGCGGAUGUUGCAGGUGCUGGUCUAAAUGUCCAUCUUUUAACAAUUCUUCCUACUUUGCUCUCUGCCAUGGGAAAUGAUGAGAAAUAAAUGUUUUAUCAGACAACUAGACACGUGGCAGAAAUCUAGAGCAAACAACAACAAAACGGAAAUGGAAAAGACUUUGAACCAAUUGAGUUUAACGAGAACUCGGGAGAGGAAGAUUAGCUAAUUCUUUGUUUUAAUAAAUAUAUGCAAGCUUAUUGAUUUUCAUACAUUCUCACUGUCAUUUAUUUCUAUUAUUACAACAUUAUACUUUAGAUCUUUUUUCUUAAGAAAGCAAAUCUAUUUAUAAGCAUUAUGAUGAAAUUCUACUUCCACAUUCUAUUAUUACAACAUUAUACUUUAAUUAUUUCAUCAUUUUGCACCUACCUCGAAGUUGUGGUAUAUUGUAUUGGAAAUGCUUAAACCUGAUUUUCACAAAAGGAAAUGUAGUACCCUUGAUUGAUGCUUUUAUUUGUUACUUUUUUCACUCUUUUAUCUAUUUUAUAAUUCUUAUUUCUUGGGUGAUGCUGAUGUAGAUAUUUUCCUUAUCUCUCUCUCAAGUUUUUAAUAAUAAUAGUUGAUGAACUUCCGGUCUUCAGCCUAAAUAGAAAGUUGUGUUUUGCUGCCAGGUUAUACUUUCUACCAGAAAAUCUAUUCUAUUAGCUUUGUGUUUGGGUAUAUUUUUCACUGUUACAAUGUUGUAAUCGGAAUAAACGUAAGUACUAUGUAGGAUGCUGUAAUAAUCAUAUAUCAUGCAAAAAGACGUAAAUGCCCUUGCAUCCACAUCACUGAAAAUAGUUUGAUUGGUGUCUCUAAUAAAAAAAUGCCACUUCUUUGAUCUUUGAAUGUCCCAUGAAAAAACUAUAACUUCAAUUUUGGUAUGCCUCACGAAUAUGUCCCAAACUCUAAGGUAAAUUACAAAAUUGCCCUUAAGGUAAAUUACCAAACUCUAAGGUAAAUUACCAAAUUGACCCUACUGAUUUUAUUAAGGAAUAUGUGCUAGAAAUGCCAACGUACUUUCAUGUAUUAUAGCAUCCUACUUUUUUUUAACACAGUGUAUUUUAGAAAAUGAUAAAUGUAAAUAGUAGCAAAGCUAAUAAAAAGUUAUAAGAAAACCUACCUUACCUGUACAACUUCAUCAUUUGGGUUACCAUACUUUCUAAGUUGUUCUUUAGGAAAUAUGUGUACGCUAGUAGCAGUAAGUCUUUGUCUUUGUAUUUGUUGUCCAGUCAGGUAGCAGCAAUAGGUACACAGGUGAAGUAGGUGAAUCAGAAGGAGGAAGUGGAAGUGUAAGUGUUGAGAUUAUGGUUCCUCAAAGCUUGUUAGGCUCCAUAUAUGGAGAGAACAAGACCAAGUUAGCUCAUAUAAAGCAAGUGAGUGAGUGAGUCCACUUGCUUUUUUUUUAAUUUUAGAUGAAAGUUAUAUUUUGUUUUUAAUUGGGAAAAGGGAUUUGAGUGCAGAUAUCAGGUGCACAGGUGGCGAUACAUGAUUCGGCGGAUGGAGGGCGAGUAUUAUUGUGUAGAACAUCAGAUGAAACUCAUACUGCAUAGUGUGUGCUUCAUGCCUUCAUCCUUUCUGAGCAACACCCCAUUCUUUGACUUCUUGUUUCUACUUCUUAUUGUUAUGCUUCUUGUGUAUAAGUUCAAUAGCAAAUUCAGUACUUUCUUGUGUAUAAGUUCUAUUAGAAGACAAACAUAUUUUUGAACCCUUUGAGAUUUAUCCAUUUGUCUACUAUUCGAAUGAUUAUUUGUAUGACAUUAACUUUUGUGCAAUGUAUUAUAUUUUUUGUAUAUGGUACUUUAUUUUCUAUUACGAGACAUGAAAUGCAAAUUUAAUUUGAAAACUAGUAAAACUAUAAAUAUUUUUUUAAAAAAAGAAUAAAAUUACGAUACACAAAAAUGUGUGUCAUCUUCAUUUAUGACAUGGCCUUUCUGGAUAGUGGCUUCAAUGAUACGCAUUGUGUGUCAUAAAUGUGUGUCGUAAAUGCACGUCGUCUAUAGGGGACGCGCAAAAGCGCCUCGUCUCUCGUUAUGACAUGGCCUUCCUUGACGCUCAUUUGCGCGUCGUCUGAGCGUUUUACGACGCGCAAUGAACGUCUUAAAAGGCUGUUUUUCUAGUAGUGCAAGUAAAUAAGAUCGGAUUGACUCGUAUUAGUCUGUAAAGAGUACAAGAAGUUGAUAGUGUUUACAAACUUGAAGAGCACAAAAAAUACUUACCCUAUUUAUGGAGUAUUAGAUACAUAACAAAAAAUACUAGGACUAUACAUUCUAUAUUUGAAUUCGAAAUGUAACUAGUAAAUACAUAUAGAGUCGAAAUCACUUGGAUUUUGAACCCUUACAGACUCAAUGUCUUUUGACUCCUCACUAUCUAUAUUUUGACCAUAAUAGUUGUCUCUAUCUAAUCAUGUAUGUCGCUCUCGCUUGGUCAUGAGCCUUUCGAUCUAGAACUAGAACUGCUUCCUCUAGUUAGCAUCACCAUGCUGACAUAUAAACGAGAAUUAGAUCAAUACAGAUUCAUGUAUGGAUCAUGUGCUUUCGGUAAUAUGGGCCCAUACUACCUUCCACACCUAUCCAUACUAGACCCAAGAGUUAUCUUAGGGUUCCUAACUCAUGCCACUCUUCUAUCGAUUGGCCUUUUCACACACCCAAUGUUACAAGUGAAGGGUUUUGAGCAUUCUAACACUUCAAUGGUGUACAUGCAACCCUUGAUGCUUUGGAUCUAUGUUUUCUCCAUUAUACACGCAUACAUUCAAUAUUCCAAAGCAUCAUCCUAACUUGCAUACAAUGGAGUAUAAACAUCAUGAAAUACCAGGUAGAUGACAUACCUUUUAGUAUAGUUGAAGCCUCGAACCUUUAAGAACUUAGUGUCCCAAGUGUUGCAACUCAAAUGGAAUGAAACAACAUGUGACAACCCGGAACUUCUAUAUUGUACACUUAUUCAAAUCUGUCAAAGUUAGACUCAUUUUUGAUAUCUUUUAGCACGGUUUAUGAUCUAUUUGAGUGUUCUAAGCCUAGUAUAAUCUAGGUAGGGGUCUUGGGAUGAGUGUUUGUGAGUGUAUCACCUUGCAAAUGAGCCAAACAUACCAAGACAAGGUGUGUGCGGCUACACAUGUUGGAUUUUGAGCAUUCUAACACUCCUAAGUGUACAUGCAACCCUAAAUACCUUGGAUCAAUGUUUUUUUCUAUUAUACAUGCAAAUAUGAUCUUUCCAAGGUAUUCAUCCUAAAUAGCAUAAUAACAUUGAUUCUUAUGAAGAUAUUGAUGGGUUUUGAGCAUUCUAACACAUCCUAAGUGUACAUGCAACCCUAAUAACCUUGGAUCUAUGUUUCUCUAAUAAUCAUGCAAAGUUGUUUUUCCAAGGUUAUGAACCUAUCUAGCAUACAUGGGGAACAAUUUUUCUUUGUACACAAGAUAAAACUACAUACCUUGUUGAUGAAAGUGUUCCUUGAAACCUUGUGAGCCUAGCACCUCAAGUGUGAUGCCUCAAAUGCUUCACACAACACCAAAUGCAAAGUAUAAACUUGAGAGAAUACUCUAACACACUCAAAAUCGACCAAGCCCUCUUGUUUAUUUAGUGUAGUCGAUUUUGGGGAGAGACAUGGUCCUUAUAUAGUGUGUUGCAUUAGGUAAAACCCUAAUGUAACAUGACUCUUCAUUUCUCAAUCCAUGGGUUAACUCGAUGGAACAUCCAUGUAGCAUCCUAUGGGUGGAACCCAACUUGAUAAUCCAAGGAGCAUCUUAGCCCACUAUAUAAGAUAUGGAAGAUUUACAUAAUCUACCCAUAUAUUUAAUUAGUUAUCUUUUUGAUCACUUAAUUAAUUCUAAAUUAAUUCUUGAUCAAAACUAAUUAAAUAAUAUUAUUAAUAUAUUAGAACUUAUAAUAUAUUAAUAAACCAUAUGUGUUAUUUCUCUCAUUUAGUUUAUCCAAUUGCAUGGUGCCAUGCAACCCAAAUGGACCAUGCCGGGUCGGGUCAAGUACAUACCAGAAAUAGUUAUGGACUUAGACACCUUAUCCAACAGUCUCCCACUUGGAUAAGUCUAAUAACUAUAACUGCAAUUCUUCAGGAACCGAUCGGCAAUCGUAGCUCUUUCAAGGUCUCUCGGAACUGAGAAGAUGAUGAUACGCCAUUUAAGAUAAGUGAUCAUAUAAUCCUCUGUUCUAGAUAUCAGCCGGACAAAUACAUGGAACAAUGUCUUACUUAUUGUCCAGCAGUUUGUUUCCCGAUUUCCGAUUUGUUUGACAAAGAACUUAAUUGAACACAUCAAUUUAGUUCUGACCGGGCCCGGUACAUAGGUCAAAACAAAAUCAUCGAGGGGCCCAGAUAUCAGCUUCUAAUCCAAGAAGGAACAGAUAAACUUCGACUCAUAUGUUUGUUCUACCACUCAUUGAAUUACACACAAAAGCACGUUUUAUAACAUCGAGUUACCAAUGCGUUUUCGUACAAUCAAUGCAUAACCAACUCGUAAGUAACAAAUCAUAUCUCUAGGUUUGAAGACUUAUAUGAUAUUACCGUCUCACGAUCACUCGAGAUAAAAUUCCAUGAAGUGAUUCCAGUGAGCGUGGGUUGAGUCCAAUGCUCAGAACUUAUGAGCACUCAUGAUUGUUGUAGCCAUGUCCAACACCUUAGACCUCUGCAACCCAUCAUGACAGUCUUGAUUCAUACCUACUUCCGACAUAUGACCGACUGUGGAGGUUUGAAUAAUAUGAUAUACCAAACAUAAUUAUUCUGGAAGUCAAAACAUGCAAAAGAAAUAUAGUAAACGAUUGACAAGAGAUAGCAACACUUUACUCAUAAAUAAACACAACUUUUAUUCAUCAUCAAAUGUCAAUUACACUUUACAAAUUUCAAAAUUAUCUAACUACUAAAACUAAUAUCAUCCUUCAGCCCUAUGCUACGAGCAUGCUGGAGAUGCUUAACCCUACUCAGUCCCUUCGUGAGGGGAUCUGCUGGGUUCUCAUCAUAUGAUACCCUCUUUGCCACGAGGAUUCCUUCUUCUAUGCGAUGUCUGAUAAAGUGAUAUUUUCUGUCGAUGUCUCUGGAUCUCCCGUGAUCCCUUGGUUCCUUAGCUAAGGCAAGAACCCUUUCACUAUCACAGAAAAUUUCCAUAGGCUCCUUUAUAGCUGGUACUACUCCAAGGUCUCCUAUGAAGUUCUUCAGCUAAAUAGCCUCCUUUGCUGCCUUGCUUGCGGCUAUAUACUCUGAUUCACAAGUAGAAUCAGCCACUGUCUCCUGCUUGGAACUCUUCCAAGUGAUUGCUCCUCCAUUUAGGGUGAAGAUCCAGCCCGACUAAGAGCGGAAAUUAUCCCUAUCAGUCUGGAAGCCAGCAUCACAAUACCCUACAACUCUCAAGUCAUCAUUCCCAGUGAGGGUAAGGACCCAGAACUUAGUCCUCCGUAGGUACUUGUGGAUAUUCUUUACCCCAGUCCAGUGAGCCUUGCCAGGGUUCCCCUGAUACCUGCUAACCAUGCUCAAGGCAAAGGCUACAUCAGAUCGAGUACAAGUCAUAGCAUACAUGAUCGAGCCUAUUGCCAAAGCAUAAGGUACUCGACUCAUUUCUGCUAUCUUAGCCUUAGUACUAGGGCUUUGUGUCUUACUUAGUCUGGCGUUACUCUGGAUAGGUAACUCUCCUUUCUUGGAGUUCUGCAUGCUGAAUCUCUUCAACACCUUGUCCAAGUAGGUACUUUGACUAAGUCCAGUUAGUAUCUUACUCCGGUCUCAAGAUCCUUAUCCCUAGAGUAUAGGCAGCUUCUCCUAGUUCCUUCAUAGAGAAACACUUCCCAAGCCAGGACUUAACUUCCUAUAGAGUUGGGAUGUCAUUUCCUAUAAGUAGUAUGUCAUCCACAUACAAUACCAAAAAGCUAAGUAUACUCCCACUAGCCUUGACAUAAACACAACAUUUAUCUUCACUCCUAGAAAAGCCAAAUUCCUUGACCUUUUCAUUAAAACAAAGAUUCCAUCUGCGAGGUGCUUGCUUUAAUCUAUACAUGGAUUUCUCAAGCUUACACACUCUAUUAGGGUACUCGUUGCUGACAAAACCUUCUGGCUGACUCAUGUAAACAUAUUCAGUCAACUUUCCAUUAAGGAAAGCGGUUUUGACAUCCAUUUGCCAAAUUUCAUAGUCAUGAAAUGCAGCUAUGGCUAACAUAACCCUAAUAGACUUAAGCUUGGAUACUGGAGAAAAGGUCUCAUCAUAAUCCCCCCCAGGAAUUUGAGAGAAACCCUUUGCAACCAGUCGAGCCUUAUAAGUGUGUAGAUUACCAUCCAUGUCGGUCUUCUUCUUGAAGAUCCAUUUGCACCCUACAGUCUUAUGACCUGGUACAUUCCCAACCAAGUUCCAAACUUGAUUGUCAUACAUGGAUUGUGUCUCGCUUUCCAUAGCCUCUUUCCAUUUCAUAGACUUGGGGCCUGCCAUGGCUUCCGCGUAACUGUUAGGUUCAUCUAGACCUACUAGUGUCUCAUCACUAAUAAGUGUCUCACCUUCUGUAGUAAUAUGAAAAACAUAGUAGUGCUCAGGUGCAUUCCUAACUCUCAUGGAAUUCCUCAGAGGUACAGACUCGUCAAUUGGCUCAAAAGGGGUUUCCUCAUCAAGUUGAGGGCUAGGGUUUGAAGUUCCUUCACCACUUGACUCUUGAAGUUCUUCAAGGUCAAUUUGCCUCCCACUGUCUCCUUGGCUUAUUAAUUCUCUCUCAUGAAAGACUCCUCUUCUUGCUACAAAGACCACAUUAUCACUAGGUCUGUAGAAGAAGUAACCAAAGGAUCUUUGUGGGUAGCUGAUGAAAAUACACCUCUCACUUCGGUGUUCAAGCUUAUCAUGAGUCUCACGUCUCACGAAAGCUUCACAACCCCAAAUCUUGAUGUGGUCUAGUUUGGGUACUUUACCAGUCCACAUCUCGUGAGGAGUUUUGGCACCUUUUUUUUUGUAGGGACUAGGUUAAGGAUAUGGGCGGCAGUCUCUAAGGCAUACCCCCAAAAUGAGAUUGGUAGCAAAGUUCAACUCAUCAUGGAACGAACCAUAUCCAACAAGGUUCGAUUACGCCUCUCAUCUACACCAUUCAACUGUGGUGUCCUGGGAGGUGUCAAUUGUGAGACAAUCCCACAUUCCCUAAGAUAGUCGAGGAACUCUGAACUAAGAUACUCACCACCUCGAUCGGAUCGAAGCAUCUUAAUGUUCCUGCCCAAUUGAUUCUCGACUUCCUGUUUAAAUUCCUUAAACCUUUCGAAAGUCUCUGACUUAUGCUUGAUUAAGUAGACAUAUCCAUAUCUACUGUAAUCAUCAGUAAAAGUCAAAUAAUAACGAUUAGCAUCCCUUGUGGCAUGUUUGAAUGGUCCACACACAUCCGUGUGUACAAGGUCCAACAAACCUUCACCCCUCUCACAAGAACCUGUGAAGGGUGACUUUGUCAUUUUUCCAAGUAAGCAUGAUUCGCAACUAUCAUCUGACUUUAGGUCAAAUGACUCCAAGACUCCAUCCUUUUGGAGUUGGCCUAUGCGUUUCUUGCUUAUAUGUCCAAGACGACAAUGCCAUAAUGAUGCUUUAUCCAAGUUAUUAUUAUUAAUAGAAUCAAUACACAUCACAUUAUUUCCUAAGUUAUCUACAACAGACACAGCUUCAUACACACCAUCACAAGGUAAUGCUUUAAAAUAAAGAACAUUAUUAAAGAAAGCAUCAAUAGAACCAACUUCAUUAUUAAAUGAAAAGGUAAAACCUUGUUUAUACAAUGCAUGAAAGGAAAUAAUAUUUCUUGCCAUUUCUGGCGAGUAACAACAUUUAUUCAAAUCUAAAUUAAACCCACUACUUAGCGAUAAAGUAUAAACUCCAAUCUUGGUGACAGGUGUAAUUUUCCUAUUUCCCAUAAUUAAGUUUAUUCUUCCUUGCUCCACAUUCUCACUUCUUCUUAGUCCCUGCAAGUCACAACAAAUAUGAAUACCACAUCCCGUAUCAAGGACCCAUGAGUUAGAAUGGGGUGAGUUAUUAGAUAAGAUAGUGUAAAUACCUGCAUGGUUGGGUUUGACUUUCCCAUCCUUUACAUCUUGCUGAUACUUUGGGCAGUUCCGCUUCCAAUGUGCCUUUUCAUGGCAAUAGAAGCAUUCAGCCUCUUUUGGGUCAGACGAAGGAGUGACGAAACCUUUCUUGGUUCCAGAAGAGGAGCCUUCAAAGGUCUUAGCAUUGGUACCAUUCGAGGGUCUCUUCCUCUUCUUACCCUUCCCUUUCCCAAUUGCCAAGACAGGGGCGGAGUUGGUAGGAGUAGAAGUAACAAUCACCUUACCCUUAAGACCACUUUCUACGGUCUUUAAGAGUCCUUGAAGUUUGCUGAGUGUGACCUCUUCCUUGUUCAUGUGGUAUGUCAUGUGGAAUUGAUCAUAACAUGAAGGUAAGGAAUGCAAAAUGAUAUCUAUUGCAAGAUCCUCAGGGAAGUUCACAUUCAGCUUCAUCAAACGGUUCACAAAUCUUUGCCUUUUCUGCAUGUGGCCCGUGAUGGGUUCACCAUCCUUCAUGCGAGUUGUUAUCAUGGAGGAGAUGAUUUCAUACCUCUCUUGACGAGCACUUUGAUGGUAUCUUUCCAUCAAUUCUUGGUGCAUCUCAAAGGGGUAGAAAUCUUCAUAGGAUUUUUGGAGAUCCGCGGUCAUAGUGGCCAUCAUGAUGCAUGCCACUUUGGUGGCAUCCCUUUCAUGUGCCCUAAACUCAGCGAUCUCUUGAGGAGUAGCAACUGUCUCAUCAAUCUCCUUAAGCUCCUUAUCGAGGACAUAUUCNCUUGUCCUCGUAGUGAGUAAUCCUUCUGAUGUUUCUGAUCCAUUCAUUAAAGUUGGAUCCAUCAAAAGUGACUUUCCGACACAAGUUCAUAAGAGAAAAGGAGCCACUAGGAUUAGAGCCAGAAACAACGUUGUUUGCGGAUAUCUGGAAAAAGAAGAAAGAAAGGACUAGCUUAGAUAUAGAGAUAGUCCUUAAUAAAACAUCCAAAUGUAGUAUUAAGGCUAGGACCCAAUCACAAUAUAUUAUACUUAGAAGAGGUAUGCCGUAAUCUAAGUAAUAACAUAUUUGAAAGGUAGGUGAAUGACGAUUCACCAAUUUCCACCAAAGACGAAAUAUUAAAAAUAUUUAAUUUGGUUCUUAGAAACUCCUAGAUUCUUUUGAGAUUCAAUGAACUUUUCAAAGGCAUGUUUCAAUCUCGAGUGUGCCCUCCAAGUUUUGUGACUGGGAUGCCGAGGAUCACAAAACGAGGUGUGAAGUAACCAUGCAAAUCACUUGGUAACCUUAAUGUUUACCCCUCAAUCGAUGUGCCGCUUAACCACACACGUUCCACCGAUACUAUGGUAAACAUUAAGUCACCCUUUAGCUACCUUGUUAAGAUUAAGUUAGUGUGCCGGUUAACCACACAGGCUCCACUAACAACUUAGACAAAGUGUAAAGUGUAAUUUCAUGGAUUAGCACCUUAUUCACAUUUUUCCUAAAGUAACUAAGAUUGGGAAUUUAAUAAAACAUUUAGUUACUUUAUAAUUAUCAUUAUACUUUUAAUGAGAAUUUAUAAGUCCUUGUCCUACCCGUUCGGCUAACGACCCUCCACCAGUCAAGCAAGCGGUGGGUGAGAGUGGACACCCAUUAAGUUGCCAUUUUAUAGGCAACAACCUUAUACCCACCUUAUAGACCGGCUUCGUGAAUGAGGCGUACUAGCGGUAAGACGGCCUUUACUCUUAUACAUAUAUAUAUUAUUAACUUAUAAUAUUAUAAAGUAUAAGGGUUGAAUUUUAACUUUUAAAAUUCUAAGGGCUAACUUGGAAUUAAAGUAUUCAUAAGUGAAAACUUUACAAAUUCCAAAACUUGAGGGCAAGUUUUGAAACUAUUCAAAACUAAUUAAUUCCAUAACUUAUGUGUUUAAAGUAGUUUUAAUCCAAAAACUCUUCAAGUUCCAUAANUAAGUAUAAGGGUUGAAUUUUAACUUUUAAAAUUCUAAGGGUUGGAACUAAAGUUUUAAUCAAGACUUUACUUGUUCCAAAACUUGAGGGCAAGUUUUGUAAACUUUCAAAACUUUUCAUUUCUUGUAACUUAUGAGUUAAUUAGAGUAUUAAAAAUGAAGACUCUUCAUUUUUAUAACCCAUGUGUUCUUUUAAUGGUUUUUAAACAAAGUGACUUUUGGUUUUCCAUAACUUGAGGACAAGUUAUGGACUCCAUUAAAACACAUAAUGAUCAUGAAUUAAUCUACCACAUAGGUUACAAAUAAUUCCUAUGAUCAUCUAAACGUCAUAAGAUCAAGAACAUGAAUAUGAACACUUACAUGAAUAAAAAAUUACACUUAAAAAACUUGUAAUUGUGAUAACUUGUUGUUGUAAUUGGAUUAGCAUGAACAUUACACCCACUAAAAUAAGUUUUCAAGUACCAAAACAGUUUAGGGUAAUGUUCCUAGUCCAUUUCCAGCAACUAAAGUCGAAAAACUGCAUUCUGAUCCUCCUACUAGCCGAGUGCAUGAACCUACUCAGUGAGUAGAUUGAAGAUUCACAUGAACUCGGCGAUUCCCCACAUGGACUCGGCGAGUUCAUCAGGCAGAUUGCACAAAAUCGACUUUUUCCAACUAUUUAGCACUAAUAGCAAACAAACAAGCCUAGUCUCUGAUACCACUGAUGGGUUUUGAGCAUUCUAACACAUCCUAAGUGUACAUGGAACCCUAAUAACCUUGGAUCUAUGUUUGUCUAAUAAUCAUGCAAAGUUGUUUUCCCAAGGUUAUGAACCUAUCUAGCGUACAUGGGGAACAAUUUUUCUUUGUAUAAAAGAUAAAACUACAUACCUUAUUGAUGAAAGUGUUCUUUGAAACCUUGUGAGCCUAGCACCUCAAGUGUGAUGCCUCAAAUGCUUCACACACCACCAAAUGCAAAGUAUAAACUUGAGAGAAUACUCUAACACACUCAAAAUCGGCCAAGUCCUCAUGUUUCUCUAGUGUAGCCGAUUUUGGGGAGAGACAUGGUCCUUAUAUAGUGUGUUGCAUUAGGUAAAACCCUAAUGUAACAUGACUCUUCAUUUCUCAAUCCAUGGGUUAACUCCAUGGAGCAUCCUAUGGGUGGAACCCAACUUGAUAAUCCAUGGAGCCUUUUAGCCCACUAUAUAAGAUAUGGAAGAUUUACAUAAUCUACCCAUAUAUUUAAUUAGUUAUCUUUUUUAUCACUUAAUUAAUUCUAAAUUAAUUCUUGAUCAAAACUAAUUAAAUAAUAUUAUUAAUAUAUUAGAACUUAUAAUAUAUUAAUAAACCAUAUGUGUUAUUUCUCUCAUUUAGUUUAUCCAAUUGCAUGGUGCCAUGCAACCCAAAUGGACCAUGCCGGGUCGGGUCAAGUANNNNNNNNNUACAUACCUCUUUGAUGUAGAAUGUCUUCAUGAAGCUUGAGUGCCUAGUGCCCCAAGUGUGACACCUCAAAUGGUUCACACAACACCAAAUACACAUGGAAUGACUUGAGAGAACUUAGCUCCUUGAAAUCGUCUAGCCCUCAUUCACACACUACUGCACGAUUUCUUGAGCCAUAGGAUUCUUUAAUAUGGUGGCUAUUAGGGUUACACCAUGUAACUCAUAACAUUAAAGAUUCCUUAUGCUCCAUGGAUUUUAAACACCAUGGAGUAUCCAUGGGUCACCCAAUGGACUUAGUCCAACAUUAGGAAUCUUGGAUCACAAGCCCACAUAUAUAAGAAUGAAUGAUUUACACAAUCAACCCAUAUAUUUAAUUAGUCUCCUUUUGAUCACUUAAUUAAUUCCAAAUUAAUUCUUGAUCAAUACUAAUUAAAUAACCUUAUUAAUAGAUUAGAACUUAUAAUAUAUUAACAAACCUUAAGUGUUAUUUCUCUCAUUUUAGUCUAUCCAAAUGCAUGAUGCCAUGCAACCCAAAUGGACCAUGCCGGGUCGGGUCAAGUCUUACCAAUUAUAGUUAUGGACUUAGACAUUAAUCCAACAGUCUCCCACUUGGAUAAGUCUAAAACUAUUAUUGCGUAUGACUUCAGGAACCAACUGGCAAUCGUAGCUCUCAAAAGCUUCUGUCGAACUCUGACCUUGUCGAUGAACUCUGACCUUUGUCAAUGACUUGUCCAUUAGAUAAGGGAUCAUAUAUUCCUCCAUUCUAGAUAUCAUAUGGACUGAGACAUGGAUUAUAAUCAUUCUCUCUGUCCAUUUGUUGUUUCCCGAUUUCCGAUUUAUGACGACUGACUAAUUGAACAAAUCAAAUCAGUCCUGGCCCGGCCGAGCACUUCCAUUUGUCAUCAUCAAAUCAUCGAGGGGCCCACAGAUAUCGCUUUUAUCCCGAAGGUAAAAGGAAUGGAUAAACUUCGACUCAUAUGGCUUGUUCUACUACUUGUUGAAUCAUACACAAAGGCACGUUUUAUAGCACCGAGUUACCAAAUGCGUUUUCGUGCAAUCAAUGUACUACCAACUCAUAGUAACAACUCAUAUCUCUAGGUUUGAAGAAUAUAAGAUAUUAUCGUCUCAUGAUCACUCGUGAUAAAAUCCAUGAAGUCAUUCCAAUGAACGCGGGUUGAAUCCAAUACUCAGAACCAGUGUUCUAAAAGGCGCGCCAUGGCAUGAGGCACGAUGUUGCCAUUACGAAAAGCUUCAUAACGUUGCUGUUAGGUGUGGCGCGUGGCAACGCGUGAUAUGGCGUGCCAUGGCGCGUUAUGGCAUCUUAUGACGUGUGUUUUUUUGUUUGAAACACGUUUUUAUUGCUCUUUUUUGUACCUUUUCUAAUCGGACAUACAAGUAUUGGUUUUGUUAUUAACUUUCUGUUAUUAGUUGUUGAUAUAACACUUCUAAAAACUAGGUAUAUUUGAUAUAAAUUUAUAUUUAUGUAGUAAUAUAAUUAUAAAUGAAUACAAAAUCGCCGCCUUACCACACGCCUUGAAAAACGCCAUGGCUCGCCAUAACUCGUUAAGCAUGAGGCUUGGCCUUGCCGCCAUGCCACGCCUCACGCCUUUUAGAACCUUGCUCAGAACUUAUGAGCACUCAUGAGUGUUGUAGCACAACUUUGUCCACCAACUUGGACCUCUACAAGCCAACCCAUGACAGUCUUGAUUCAUAUCUACUUCCAACAUAUGACCGACUGUGGACGGUUUGAAUAACUUAGUCAUUCCGGAAGAAUAACCUAGUUUAUUCUGGAAGCCAAAACAUGCAAAAUGAAAAAUAAGAAUAAUUGAAUCUAAUAUGGUAUCAAAACCUAUGAACACAAAUAAAACACCUUUUAUUUAUCACUAUAUGAUUACACAUUAUUCAUUGCAUACUGUUUCAGCUAUCAACUUUAUUCUUGAAUUAAAACAAUAGUUGUCCCAUGCUCCGAGCAUGUACACUAUGUUUUUCUAAACAAUAGCUUUGCCAUAUACCAAGUAUGCACUCUAUUUUUGUCUAGGAUCCUUACUUUGUGAAAUAAACCAAUUGUCCAAACUUUCAAUGAUUCUAAUUUCACACUCCCGAAUUCUUAUGGCAAAUGCAGGAAUUCCAAAUUCAUGCCAUUUUACUGAAAUCUGUUAGAUUUUCAACUUAUAUGCAAUGAUUCUCUUGUAAUGAUUAUGCACAAAGUCACAAAGACUUGACAACAAACAUUACAGAGCAUUCCAAGGUAGAUCAACUCCUUGGAAACAUCCUUUUUGCAUUAAGUUUACUAAUCUUACACAUAUUUAUUUAACAACUUCCACCAAUAGGAUCAUUUCUACAUUCCCUUUUUGACUAUCACUUAUGAACAAGAGUUGCCUCUUUUCAGAAUAUGUCAAUAUGGUCCUUCCAGCAAUUAACACCAUACUUCAAACUGUUCCUGAGCAACCAAUCUUUGGUAAACCUUAGAUUGUCCUCGACAAUUGCUUAAUCAUUUUUUUCAUAUCCAGUUCUAGACCUUUUCCCUUCUUAAUGCCCCACGCAUUUGGAAAAUUUUGGAAAGGAUGAAUAUAGCACAUGUAAUCGAUCCUAUAUUCGAAGCAUAUGGGAC
rnacentral:lncRNA from 1 species